rnacentral:lncRNA from 1 species
CCUAUUCCUCCUUCACCUUCUGGCAUGAUUGAAAGCUCCCUGGGCCUUCACCAGAAGCUGAGUAGAUGCCAGCACCAUACUGCCUCUCAAGUCCACAGAACUCUGAGCCAAUUAAACAUCUUUACAAAUUACCCAGUCUCAGAUGCAGAGCUAGUUAUUUAUAAGCAAAUAAAAUCAAUUGUGUCUGAAAUGUCAAUAAUGUAUAAAUAAGCAUGUUUCUAAAUUUAAUUGUUAACUUUUAUAAGAUGAAUGGUAGCAACAACAAUGUGAUCUGUUAUUUAUUCUUCCUGAGUCAAACUAAAUAUUUUACAUAAAUCAGCCCCUUCUGGAUAAUAUUUACAUUAUACUACAAAUAUUGACAAUGACUAGAAUUUAAUAUUUUAAAAAUACUCAUCCAAACAUACAAAUGCAGGGAUGGGUGGUUAUAACUGGAUCAGUAGUUGUGUCACUCCAAAUCACAAAUCUCUUGUUUUCCCUCUUGCUAAUCUCUACUAUCCUCCCUCUUUAACCCAUGGCUAUGAAAAAUAACAAAAGGAGUAGUUCAAAUCUUCAGAUAGUUCUUUCUGGUUUCCUUGUAGCUAUAUAUUUUAAUUUGCCUCAGACUUCUCCAAAUCAGUCUAAGGAAACACAAAGUGAUAUAAGUACUACAUAGAUUAGAUUUAGAUAUAGAGGUAUAAUCUUUUCCCCCUACAGAACUCCAAACAUGCUAUUCUCCAUUUAGGAAUGUAAAGCAACCCACAAUCGUCUGAAGAAAGAUACAGAACUCAAGAAUUCAUAUAGUCAAAAGCUGGACAGAUCUGGAUUCAAAUCUGAUUAACUGUGAGACCUUGGGCAGCUGUUGAAAUUCUGCAUAUCAGUCAGAGGUUGGUUAGAA